GCCCCGGUAGCUCAGCUGGAUAGAGCAAUCGCCUCCUAAGCGAUAGGUCGGACGUUCAAAUCGUCUCCGGGGCACCA
rnacentral:tRNA from 1 species